rnacentral:miRNA from 1 species
ACCGUGGGGCGAACGGAGCG